CCUACGGGCGUCAGCAGUGAGGAAUAUUGGUCAAUGGACGAGAGUCUGAACCAGCCAAGUAGCAUGAAGGAUGACUGCCCUAUGGGUUGUAAACUUCUUUUAUAUGGGAAUAAAAUGUUCCACGUGUGGGAUUUUGUAUGUACCAUAUGAAUAAGGAUCGGCUAACUCCGUGCCAGCAGCCGCGGUAAUACGGAGGAUCCGAGCGUUAUCCGGAUUUAUUGGGUUUAAAGGGAGCGUAGGUGGAUUGUUAAGUCAGUUGUGAAAGUUUGCGGCUCAACCGUAAAAUUGCAGUGGAAACUGGCAGUCUUGAGUACAGUAGAGGUGGGCGGAAUUCGUGGUGUAGCGGUGAAAUGCUUAGAUAUCACGAAGAACUCCGAUUGCGAAGGCAGUUCACUGGACUGCAACUGACACUGAGGCUCGAAAGUGUGGGUAUCAAACAGGAUUAGAUACCCGGGUAGUC
rnacentral:rRNA from 1 species